UAGCUCAGUUAGUAGAGUGCUUGCCUUGCAUGCAGAAGGCCCUGGGUUCAAUCCCCAG
rnacentral:tRNA from 1 species